UUUUUAUCUUUUCCCCCAACAGAAGCGCUUGAAUUUGAAUGAAAAUCAACGUCUGCUCUACGAAGCGUCAGUGCAGUGUUAUUUUUUUGAAAUCUACGAGGGUAUCCCUGAGUCCACCCAGCCCAGAUUGGUACCGGACUCAGGGAAAGUGAAAGCAGCUGAGCAUGGUGACCACACCAUCCCUUCCUAUACUGAGGACACAGAUGAAUCACUAGUUCUGAAAGGGUAACUCUACACAUUAAAGCUUAUUGACGUGGAUGAAGUUUGGGUUGCCUGAAAGACCACACCACACUUGAAAGGUUCAUGCCACAUUUUCUUGCAAUCCCUAAGAACAAUAGUGUGAGAUUACACAUUAACAAAAAAGCAAAAGAAACUCAUACAAUAGUAAGUAUAUGGGGGUUAGUUGAUAAAUUGUUUACUUACAUGCAAGAAUCUCUUAAGCAGUCAGGAUUCUGACAGGAGAACCUUUUACUGGAGCAAUUGAUUUCUUCCGUUAAAUAGAAGCA